GCAGUCGUAGCUCAGUGGAUUAGAGCGUUCGGUUGCGGUCCGAAAGGUCGGUGGUUCGAGUCCUCCCGAUUGCACCA
rnacentral:tRNA from 1 species